AGCACAGCUUGAAUCAUUGUCAAAUUGUCUUUUAACUUCUCAAAAUGACGCUCGACUUUCUCCCGACUGGCCAAGUACUUAAUUGUGCUGGAGGCCAACUGCUGAAACAACGCUUGAAUGAUUGCAGACAGGAAGAGCUCUGCUACUGCCAUUGCUCUUGAUUCUCCUUUUAGAAAAACACGCAGAAUUAGAGGAAUCACGGAAAGAAUGGCUCACAUAAUAGGGAACAAAUCAGAACUAAAAUUAACAUUCCCAAGCUAAUCAUCAAAUUCGAACUGACGGUGUAAUAAAUCAUCAAAUUUGAUAUCCACAAUGUAUGAUCACAUAUUUACAUUCCUUCUCAGAAAAUAAAUAAAAUCAUCACAUUUAAUAUCAACAAACGCCAACAGAGUAAUUGCCGUACAACGUACUAACUCAGCUGUAAAUACCAUAAAUAAAUCAUGAGAAAUCAAGCUAUAAUAGGAGGAAUUUCAUGUGUGGCGUAAUCGAGCUGGAAUCAUAUGAAAUACAAAACAAAAACAACGCUCCUGAAGAAAAUUAGAAAAUAUGAAGAUGCGCGCGCGCAAGUGGAGUGUUAAUACAAGGGUAUAGCAGAAGCCAUACAAUUCAUAAUCACAGAAAAAACAGCAUGAAGACUUACAAAUUUGUGGAGUUGAUCUGGAGAUAGAUAAUCUGGAAAUAAGCAUCAAACUCCAAACGAUUGGAUUCUUGCUUUCCAUGAGUGUUUUCAUGUUGAAAAGCCAAGUCAAGUCAACGGCCUUAUCAUCAAGAACUUUCCUCUGUAUUUCAUCUCAACGGUUAUCAUUUAGCUUAUACAAAAUUGGCCCAUGUUCAAC
rnacentral:lncRNA from 1 species